CCUACGGGCGGCAGCAGUGAGGAAUAUUGGUCAAUGGCCGGAAGGCUGAACCAGCCAUGCCGCGUGAAGGUCAGUGCCCUAUGGGCGUUAAACUUCUUUUGUGCGGGAGCAAUAAUGGUCACGUGUGGCCAGACGAGAGUACCGUACGAAUAAGCAUCGGCUAACUCCGUGCCAGCAGCCGCGGUAAUACGGGGGAUGCAAGCGUUAUCCGGAUUUAUUGGGUUUAAAGGGUGCGUAGGCUGUGAGGUAAGUCAGCGGUGAAAUGCCCCCGCUCAACGGGGUGAAGUGCCAUUGAUACUGCCUGGCUGGAGUGCGGAUGCCGUGGGAGGAAUGUGUGGUGUAGCGGUGAAAUGCAUAGAUAUCACACAGAACACCGAUUGCGAAGGCAUCUCACGAAUCCGCGAUUGACGCUGAUGCACGAAAGCGUGGGUAUCAAACAGGAUUAGAUACCCGUGUAGUC
rnacentral:rRNA from 1 species